UAGCGAGCCCUAACCGGUAUGGACUGUGCCUCACAUCCCUGCGGACGUCUCCCCGACUUUCCCUGCUUCAUUACUCCAGGUUCUUGCUGAUGCCGGGCCCUAUGCUAGGGAUUCCGGUCGCCUCCCCGUGAGCCUGGCAAAUAUAUUAUGGGGAUCCUCUGACCACCCUGCAAGAGGAUCGAGACCCUCGCCCUGCCCCACAUGGUGCCCUGUGUCCUGAGAUACCUGUUUGUGUUCGAAUCUGCGUCUGCCGUUUUAGGGCUUUGGCUGAACUGGGUUGCGACACAACCUGUCUGUGCUGCAGCAGCACCCACAACGCCCUCGGUCUGCCUCGCACUGUGCCUAGCAUGGAACAGGCACCUGAUGUUUGCUGGAGGACCAUUCCGGAGCGGCAUUUAUUUAGACACUGAUAAAAUUUCUGAGGUGAUCUAAGUUAAAUUACAGCAGACGGGAGAGUGAGAGAGGGAAAAAAAAAACCAGGCUGUUACAGCUGGGGGCCAGCUGGCAAGACCGCUUACACACCUGAAUGUACUUGGAACUUCGAGGUAGCUAUUUCUGCAAUUAUCUAAAAGAACAGCCAAGGCGACUUCGAACCCCAGGAGCCUUUGCUCCUUGUUUACACAAGAACUUUCAGGGCUUGCCCACUAUUACCUACGGACUCUGUACCUAUUCCAGAAUGAGCUUGCCUCACCUUCUCCCACCUCCUUUACCUAUAGCCAAGAAAACGAAUGGCCACAGAAGUGGGUCACAGAGGAGGAGGAAAGAAAGCAUCAGCUCCUUCAUGGCACUUCACAUGUCCGUGCACAAGGCCUAGGUUCUCCAAAAUGACCAGGAUGCCAGCAGAACACACAAAACCUUUCCAAACUGAGCGUGUUGUGUAAAGAUAUCCUACUGAAUCCCUGGCCAGCAAGGCUAGUUGGUUGGGCAUUGUCCCACAAAGCAAAAGGUCGCAGGUUUGAUUCUGGGUCAGGGCACUUGACUAAGCUGCGGGUUCUAUCCCCCUUCAGGAUGCCUGCGAGAGGCAGCCUAUCAAUGUUUCUCUCCCUCUCUUUCUCC